UCAAAAUGGUAUACAGUUUACUCCGACAUCUGCAAGUGCGAAAAUGUUGAGAAACAACUUGAUAUUGGCGUUCACUGUUAGUUUGGUGAUUUUCACCUUGGUAGCAGAGAACGAAGUACAAGCUGCACCGGAGCCAUGCAAAGACCUGUUAGACAUAAUGUGGAAACCAGAGAAAUUGAAGAAACCGAAAGAAGAAAAAAACGACAAUGGUAAAGAUAAACAUAAGAAAGAAAAAUUAAAACAAAUUAAAAAAU